rnacentral:rRNA from 1 species
UACAGAGGUCUCGAGCGUUGUUCGGAUUCAUUGGGCGUAAAGGGUGCGUAGGUGGCGUGGUAAGUCGGGUGUGAAAUCCCGGGGCUCAACCCCGGGACUGCAUUCGAUACUGCGGUGCUUGAGGACUGGAGAGGAGACUGGAAUUCAUGGUGUAGCAGUGAAAUGCGUAGAGAUCAUGAGGAAGACCAGUGGCGAAGGCGGGUCUCUGGACAGUUCCUGACACUGAGGCACGAAGGCCAGGGGAGCAAACGGG